UUGGAGGGCAAGUCUGGUGCCAGCAGCCGCGGUAAUUCCAGCUCCAAUAGCGUAUAUUAAAGUUGUUGCAGUUAAAAAGCUCGUAGUUGAACCUCGGGAUCGAUGGAUCGGUCAUGCCAUCGGUAUGUACUGGUCCCAUCGGUUCUCACCUUCUAAGGAACCAUGAUGUCAUUCAUUUGAUGUUUUGGGGAAUUAGGACUGUUACCUUGAAAAAAUUAGAGUGUUUAAAGCAGGCCAACGCUUGAAUACAUUAGCAUGGAAUAAUGAAAUAGGACAUCGCAUUCUAUUUUGUUGGUUUCUAGGAUCGAUGUAAUGAUUAAUAGGGAUAGUUGGGGGCAUUAGUAUUCAAUUGUCAGAGGUGAAAUUCUUGGAUUUAUUGAAGACUAACUACUGCGAAAGCAUUUGCCAAGGAUGUUUUCAUUAAUCAAGAACGAAAGUUAGGGGAUCGAAGACGAUCAGAUACCGUCGUAGUCUUAACCAUAAACUAUGCCGACUAGGGAUCGGAUGAUGUUGAUUUUUUAAUGACUCAUUCGGCGCCUUACGGGAAAC
rnacentral:rRNA from 1 species